rnacentral:rRNA from 1 species
GCAGGUUGAAGCGCGGGUAAGACCGCGUGGAGGACCGAACCCACCUGGGUUGAAAACCGGGGGGAUGACCUGGGGCUAGGGGUGAAAGGCCAAUCAAAUUCCGUGAUAGCUGGUUCUCUCCGAAAUGCAUUUAGGUGCAGCGUCGGUUGAUUGCAUCGCGGGGGUAGAGCUACUGGAUGCUUGCGGGCCCGUGUCGGGUACCAAUAGCAGCCAAACUCCGAAUACCGUGGAUGUGUAUUCCGGCAGUGAGUCGGCGGGGGAUAAGCUCCGUCGUCGAGAGGGAGACAGCCCAGAUCGUCGUCUAAGGUCCCGAAGCGUGUGCUAAGUGGGAAAGGAUGUGGAGUCGCAUAGACAGCCAGGAGGUUGGCUCAGAAGCAGCCAUCCUUGAAAGAGUGCGUAACAGCUCACUGGUCUAGUGGUUCCGCGCCGACAAUGUAGCGGGGCUCAAGCACACCACCGAAGACGCGGCAGCGGCCUUUGUGGCCGUUGGGUAGGAGAGCGUCCCGCGUGGGGCGAAGCGGCCGGGGAACCGUGCCGUGGACCGCGCGGGAGUGAGAAUGCAGACAUGAGUAGCGAGAGACGGGUGAGGAUCCCGUCCGCUGGAUGACCAAGGGUUCCGGGGCCACGUUCGUCGUCCCCGGGUGAGUCGGGUCCUAAGGCGAGGCCGACAGGCGUAGUCGAAUGGAUGAACGGGUGGAUAUUCCCGUACCGGCGGCGUACCGUAAGAGCCGAACGGAUGAGUACUAACCUCCGGUCGCGUGGCGUCGUUCCCUUCGGGGUUCGGGGCGCGUGGCUGUUGGGAGCGUAGUCCUGGUAGGCUAGCGCACAGGGGUGACACGGAAUGGGAGCCGGCCGCGGAGGUGGUUUUCCGUGGUCAAGCACGCAGCCCGUCCCAUAGGCAAAUCCGUGGGACGCAUAGGGUGAGGUGUGAUGAUGGGCGUCCUUUGGACGCGAUAUCCGGUGGUCCAGGCCGUCGAGAAAAGCCUCGGCGCGAGGGGCGUCGCCGCCCGUACCCCAAACCGACACUGGUGGUCAGGUAGAGAAUACCAAGGCGAUCGAGCGAAUCCUGGUCAAGGAACUCGGCAAAUCACUCCCGUGCCUUCGGUAUAAGGGAGACCCCCGGGCGUGAAGAGGCUUGCCCUCGGAGCGUUGGGGGGUGGCACAGACCAGGGGGUAGCGACUGUUUACCAAAAACACAGGUGCAUGCGAAGGCGCAAGCCGCUGUAUAUGCACUGACGCCUGCCCGGUGCCGGAAGGUUAAGAGGAUCCGUCAGCCCCUUUUGGGGUGAAGCGGUGAAUUCAAGCCCCGGUAAACGGCGGUGGUAACUAUAACCAUCCUAAGGUAGCGAAAUUCCUUGUCGGGUAAGUUCCGACCUGCACGAAUGGCGUAA